GUCCGAUGUGUUGAAAACAGUUACUGUAUUCUGACCUGAAAUGCAGGUCUCCAUAAAUUCUUUUAAAAUUCUUGAAUAUGUAGCAGAAGAACUACCAAAUCUCCAGCCACUGUUUCUUAAAGUGUACAGCUUGUUUCUUUUUAUUUAUUCAUACUCCUUCUCUUCUCCCCACCUUUAUUCCUUCUUUUCUUUCUUUAAUUAGUAUCAGUCAAUGUUGGCCGAACCAACUAUUUCUAAACAAGUCAAGAUCCUGCUGUUACAAAAGUUUCACUGAAAAUAACUGUCUGGAAAACACAAAUGCUGUGAAACUACUAAUAGAAAAUUGCAAUGUAAAGCUUUCUGUUUGCCAUAUCAAUUCACCACUGGAGUAAGGUAGAUUUUAACAUUUCUGGUUAAAACGAAGUGAAAUUUCUUAAUUAUUUUAUUCAUCAAAAAUUAAUGGAUAAUCAAACAACAAUUUUCAGAACAGAAAAAAGCUACCAGAAACCAGAAAAUUGAUUCAUUUUCAUUAGUAAAACUAGAGGUUGUGGGCAACUAUUUUAUUUUAUUUUCAGUUUCUCCUAAAGGACAAAACUCUGAAAAAUACAUUUAAAAAUGUGUUGUUUUCUAUUCAUUUAUUUAAUUAGGGGAGGAAGAAAACUCCACAAUCAAAUGAAGUAAAUUAGAGACUCCAAAACAAAUGGCAUUUUACCAAAUGUAUAAUUCAUUUCCCUCCCCAGAACUUGAUCCUGUUAAAGUCCCAGAGAUGAAGCAUGGCAGAAUUAUUUAGCAUAGUUUUUAUCUUUUCUGAAAAGAAAAAUCAGUCAUGUUUAAUUCACAGAUUUAAAACUCUAGUGAUUCUAGCUGACAGGAGAAAUAAAUGAAUGCUUUCUGGGAAGGUAUCACAGAAAAACCAGAAGAGACUUCAAGGGAGGAGUCCCCUGAGUCCAGGGUUGGCAGCAGGCAUCUGAUACUUGACACAUCAUUUGGGAGGCUCAGGGUUCACCUGAGGACUAUUUCUCUCAACUACUGCUCGUAUUUAAAAGCCCAUAUAUUAUAAUGCAUGGGAAAAAGAAAAAGGAUCAUAUAGACUAAUAUAAACAAAAUGGGACAAUGGAAUUUUUUCCUUUUAUAUGAGAGAAAUGAAAUAGAAAAAGAUGCCUACUGAUAUGGUUUGGCUGUGUCCCCACACAAAUCUCAUCUUGAAUUCCUAUGUGUUGUGGGAGGGUAAUUGAAUCAUGGGGGCAGGUCUUUCCUGUGCUGUCCUCGUGAUAGUGAAUAAGUCUCAUGAGAUCUGACGGUUUUAAAAAGAGGAGUUGCUCUGCACAAGGUCUUUUCUCUCUUUGCCUGCUACCAUCCAUUUAAGACGUGACUUGGUCCUCCUUGCCUUCCACCGUGAUUGUGAGGCUUCCCCAGCCCUGUGAACCUGUAAGUCCAUUAAACCUCUUUCUUUUGUAAAUUUCCCUGUCUGGGGUAUGUCUUUAUCAGCAGUGUGAAAAUGGACUAACACACCUACAAACUCUUCAGAGGGACCCCUUUUGACCAUGUCAACAACCUUAAUUUUGACUUGAAAUCCAAACUGAAAUCUGCAUGAAAGCGUAACUCCUCUCUGGUGGUGGACUUAUUUCUUAUCAUUGAUUCAAUUAUGGAAAAGUGUUCAUUUGGGUUCUGUCUGGUACACAAUAUGUAAACUUUGAAUAAUGAUUCUCAGUUUAUGCAAAUUCACUUUUUCCUUGAAAAUAAAAGUCAAAAAAACAAGGAUUUUAAAAAAAUUUUGGAAUAAUUUUAGAUUUGCAGGAAAGCUGCAAAGAUAGUACCAUGAGUUUCCAUAUAUUGCACACCCAGUUUCACCUGUUAUUGACAUCUUUCAUUAGUCUGAUGCAUUUGCCACAACUAAUAAACCAAUAUUGAU
rnacentral:lncRNA from 1 species